UACGUAGGGUGCGAGCGUUGUCCGGAAUUAUUGGGCGUAAAGAGCUCGUAGGCGGUCUGUCGCGUCGAUCGUGAAAACUUGGGGCUUAACCCUGAGCUUGCGGUCGAUACGGGCAUGACUGGAGUUCGGCAGGGGAGACUGGAAUUCCUGGUGUAGCGGUGAAAUGCGUAGAUAUCGGGAGGAACACCAGUGGCGAAGGCGAUCUUCUGGUCUGUUUCUGACACUCAGACGCGACAGCUAGGGUAGUAAACGGG
rnacentral:rRNA from 1 species